rnacentral:lncRNA from 1 species
GGCUUUUUGCACUUAUGAAGGGAAAUCCAUGCACCUGUGAUCCUCAUUCACCUUCACCUGGUGGAAAAACCUCUGCUUCUGUGAACAAGCUGGUCUGAAGGAGACCUCCAUGCCAGAGAGAGAGAGGGAGGCCAGGAGCUGUGUCACUGCCACAGAGAAUUAACUGCUUCCAGGUACAGGUGCAACAUCAAUGCCUCAAUCCCUGGCAAGAGUUAUAGGGGCAGAAAGGAUCUUCCAAGAGGCUGGUGCACUGAGAAGGAAGAAAACUGGAGGCAAUGUGUCCUCAGAUCUCUGCUUACAGAAGGAGGUUUUGAGCUCAUGCAAGCCUCCUGGAUCCAAGACAGCUUUCUUAUGCAAGGAUACUGGAGUCAAGACAGCUUUGCCUUGCACCGUCCUGAUUGUCAUCAAAACCUAA